AUUGAACGCUGGCGGCAUGCUUUACACAUGCAAGUCGAACGGUAACAGGUUAAGCUGACGAGUGGCGAACGGGUGAGUAAUGCAUCGGAACGUGCCCGAUCGUGGGGGAUAACGCAGCGAAAGCUGCGCUAAUACCGCAUGCGAUCUGAGGAUGAAAGCGGGGGACCGUAAGGCCUCGCGCGAUCGGAGCGGCCGAUGUCAGAGUAGGUAGUUGGUGGGGUAAAGGCCAACCAAGCCGACGAUCUGUAGCUGGUCUGAGAGGACGACCAGCCACACUGGGACUGAGACACGGCCCAGACUCCUACGGGAGGCAGCAGUGGGGAAUUUUGGACAAUGGGCGAAAGCCUGAUCCAGCAAUGCCGCGUGCAGGAAGAAGGCCUUCGGGUUGUAAACUGCUUUUGUACGGAGCGAAAAGGUCCUUUCUAAUACAAGGGGCUCAUGACGGUACCGUAAGAAUAAGCACCGGCUAACUACGUGCCAGCCGCCGCGGUAAAAC
rnacentral:rRNA from 1 species